CGGCGUGCUUAACACAUGCAAGUCGAACGGGAUCCGGAAUGCUUUUUGUGUUUUGGUGAGAGUGGCGAACGGGUGAGUAACACGUGAGUAACCUGCCCCCUUCUUUUGGAUAACCGCAUGAAAGUGUGGCUAAUACAGGAUAUUCCAGGCUGGUCGCAUGAUUGGUUUGGGAAAUGGUUUGGUSUGGUGGGGGAUGGGCUCGCGGCCUAUCAGCUUGUUGGUGGGGUGAUGGCCUACCAAGGCGGUGACGGGUAGCCGGCCUGAGAGGGUGGGCGGUCACACUGGGACUGAGAUACGGCCCAGACUCCUACGGGAGGCAGCAGUGGGGGAUUUUGCACAAUGGGCGCAAGCCUGAUGCAGCGACGCCGCGUGGAGGGAUGAAGGCCUUCGGGUUGUAAACCUCUUUCG
rnacentral:rRNA from 1 species